AAAAUUAAAAACAGGGCGGGUUUCUCUCCCGCGACCAAACCCUCUCCUUUAUUGGCUUUUCAUUCCUAGCAACACCUCACUGCUUCACGUCUCGUGGCCUUCUCCCUUCAAGAGAGAUUCUCAAUCAAUCGAACCAGCAUUGCAGGUCCUCCUCCUUCCGCCAAGGGUUUGUAUUCUCCGUUGUUGCUAUUCCUUCCUUCUGCUGAGACGGAACUCUUCUCCAUUUCGAUUUAUUCCUUCACCGCGGCAUGAAAUCUUGAAGAAGAACGUCUGCUGUCUUUGCAGAGGAAUAGUAUGAUCUUGGAGCUCUAAAAUCGGUUGCUUCAAAGUUCCAGGAUGUUUUGCUCUCAAUUUCAUAGAAGGUGUGUAAUCGACAAGAUUUUGUAAUAAUCAGCAUUUAGUCAAGGAAGAAAUGGGAGAACCCAAGAGACCCAGAUGAAGUGCUAGUGAAACUUGGAUGCUCCUAAGAGAGGUUUUUCCAAGGCUCGUAGUACUAUUGCAGAGUAGGUCCUUCAUGGAGUACUUCAUUUUGUGUUCUGAAGUACUACAUUGUCAGGUUUAAUCAGAUGAUAAAAGAUGACCAUGUAUGAUCAAUAUGGUAAAGCUAGAGUUAAGAGUUCUACUGGGGGAUCAGCUGGAGCUAGCAUACAUGGUAUUGCAGAUCUACUUCUGCAGGCAUUAAAUCAUUCCAUAGUGUUUUUCACCCAUGGCCAUUAGAUAUUAUGGUUUUAAUAUUUUCAGUUUUAAUAGACUCAUUGUCACUGUCUUUAUUUUCUUCAUCCUCUCGCCAUUUUAUGUUUUGCAGCUACAUGAUUCUUGUCCUUUUUGGCAAAAAGUUUGAAGUCUUGAGGAGAUCAGGUCAUUAAGGAACAACAUUUUACAAAAUGAGAUUUUUCAAAAGCAGUAUGUUUGAAUGUUAACCAAGAAAACUUCUAUUAUCUUAUGCCAUAUGCAUACCUACUGAUGAUGUGAACCUUUUUAUAGGAAGUAAUCUUUAUGCAGGUAAAUAUCAUGCUGAUAAAUACUUAGGUUUCUGCAUUAGUUGGGGUCCUUCCUUGCAAUUCUGUAUUAUUCACUUUUUCUUUUUUUAGUUCAGUUAAAGUCAGUUUUAAUAUGCAAUAAUUCUUUGUACUAUUGAUAUCCCACAUCGAAUAUGGAGUAUUGCUUGGAUGGAAUGUAACAUGUUAAAGUCAGUUUAAUAUGCCUGUAUGUUUUCUUUAUGUUCUGAUUCAUUCUUCCUUUAAUAUCCCAUUUUGCAUCAUUGAGAGUCUUCAUUUUUAUGUAGGUUGCGUCAUAUGUUAUUACAAUUCCAAUGCAGCAGUUUCCCACUUCAUGGUUUUAAAUGAUUUUGUUGGCCAUGUCCAUGAUAUUAACACUAACCAGUCACUUUGUCUCUUGUGAGAAUAGGUGUUGGGCUGAUGCCAAGUCUUGGCCCAUGAACCCAGGUCUUGAUCCCAAUAAUAGGUUAUUUAGGAAGCCUCACAGAUUCUUUGGAAAGAUAGGACUGCAUCAAUGAGGAUUGAGGAAAGGUGAGGUUAUACUUUCUACAGAAUUUCAAAUGGUCAGAAUUCACUUCUUGGAGAAACAACUUGAGGUUCUCUGGUGCAGCAGUUGCAGGAAAUCCAUUUUAAACUCUUGUACCUCAAAAUUUUUUUUUUCAAAUAGUUAUUCUUUACAUUUUACGUGCACUUUUUCUUUGGGCCUAUAUAUAGCAUGCAAUGCUUUGAGAAACAGAGGUAAUAAAAAAUAAAUACUGUGUCUGCAUUGCACCAAAUAAA